rnacentral:lncRNA from 1 species
CAAGAAAUGAGGGCAGAGAGUUAGGAAGAGGCGGACUCAGCAGGACCUGGUGGGCCAUGGUGAAAAAAACCACCUGCUGCUCAGCCUGCAGGGAAGCCAGGGGAGGAGCUAUAAGUGGUAGAAGGACAUGAUCUAUGUCUUUUCAGAAUCACUUGGGCACCUACACUAUGGGGGCACAUGGCAAAACAGAGGGACCGGUUGGCCUGGAGAUAGUCAUUGCUAAGAGCAUGGGGUGGUUUAUUUUACCCUGGCAGUAGCAUCCCUUACAUACUUACAGGAAGGACCAUUGACUAGGUGAAGCGAGUCUGGAAGUACCUUUCAACCCAGCAGUUGCUCAAGGAAGAAGGGUAGAUGCUCAUUUUUUGUGUGUGUGCCUCCAGAUCUUUCCACCCGAAACCAUAACCUGCCAUCUUUCUCCCAUUCUAAAUUCACUAAUAAUGUUCCAGACGUGAGGCACAUAUUUUCUGUGCAUGUGGAGAGGUGCAAACGUGUGCACAUAGGCAUUUGCACAUGGCUGUAAAUUAAUGGCUCAUACUUAAGGGAGAAGCAAGUACCAGCUCCUGCUAUGUAUGGUCAGCCUGUGUUUUCUCUUUCUUUCCCUAGGCAUGAAAAUGCUGCAUUUUGUAUUUUUCCCUCACUGUGAUCAUUCUGUUUUUGUGACUGUGUAUUAGUUACCCUGGCAACGUGCUAGACUUGAAUUUGAUUGGCCAGGUUGCCAGGUUCAUUGUGAGAGCCAGGGGCCCAUUUUUGAGCGCUAGACCUGCACACAGCUUACCACAGCUAUACAGACAAGCUUGGUCAGGAAAACCUGACUGAGCAGAGCUUCUGCACCCGCUUUGUCUGCCAGAGGGACCCUUCCAGCACCUGCUGUGUGGAUGUCUUUGCAUUGCUGUUGAAAAGAUGCAAGAGCUCAUCUGUAUCUUUGAAAUGUCUGUCAGAAAAUGUGCUUAGCAUUGUCCAUCUUCAUUGUCUAACACAUCAGUAAUCCCCCAAAAUGGAAGUGGUAGGACUCCUGACCCUCGAGAGGACUGCUUGUGCUCAGAUGUGUGUGCAAGGAAGGUUCUUCUGGAAAUAUCCCUCUCCUGACCAGGAGUCACUUGAAUUCGAAAUGGCACUGAGGCAGCCAUAUUGUGACCAUAAAGAAAAAGCCAAGAACAUCAGAAACAGUGGCCUGGCCAUUGCACAGUCAUCUAAACACACCUCUGGA